GAUGAAGAACGCAGCGAAAUGCGAUAAGUAAUGUGAAUUGCAGAAUUCAGUGAAUCAUCGAAUCUUUGAACGCACAUUGCGCCCAUUAGUAUUCUAGUGGGCAUGUCUGUUCGAGCGUCAUUUCAACCCUUAAGCCUCUGUUGCUUAGCGUUGGGAGCCUACCUACCCGGUAGAUCCUCAAAGUUAGCUGGCAGGGUCGAGGUUCGCCCUAAGCGUAGUAGUUCUUUCUCGCUUCUGCGGCUGCCUAGGCCAUCGCCACAAGCCUUUUAAACUUCAAUGGUUGACCUCGGAUCAGGUAGGAAUACCCGCUGAACUUAAGCAUAUCAAUAAGCGGAGGA
rnacentral:misc_RNA from 1 species